rnacentral:rRNA from 1 species
GACGAACGCUUGCGGCGUGCCUAAGAAAUGCAAGUCGAACGGGGGCUUCGGCCCCACGUGGCGAACGGUCGCGUAACACGUAAGCAACCUGCCCUGAAGUGGGGGACGAACAUCCCGAAAGGGGUGCUAAUACCGCAUGUGGUCACGAGUCGGCAUCGACUUGUGUCUAAAGAUUUAUCGCUUCAGGAUGGGCUUGCGGCCUAUCAGGUAGUUGGUGGGGUAAUGGCCUACCAAGCCGACGACGGGUAGCUGGUCUGAGAGGAUGAUCAGCCACACUGGGACUGAGACACGGCCCAGACUCCUACGGGAGGCAGCAGUGGGGAAUCUUAGACAAUGGGGGGAAACCCUGAUCUAGCCAUGCCGCGUGAUCGAUGAAGGCCUUAGGGUUGUAAAGAUCUUUCAGAUGGGAAGAUAAUGACGGUACCAUCAGAAGAAGCCCCGGCUAACUCCGUG